UAAAUGCUCGCGUGCCCUUUCCUCCGGCCUCAUUCCAUCAUGGCGGGUGCUGGAGGGUCCUGGAUUCAGCAGAUCCGGCUGGUGUGGGGAGGCCCACUCCUACCUGUUUGGAGGUGAAACGUUGCGAGAUGGCGAGCCAACUUGAUGCUUCAGGUGAUUCAGGACAGCAAUUUAUUUCAGAUGUUGAGGACUGCAACACUGAGGUGUCCUUUUGAAUUUCGACUCGAUUCAGUUGAUCAACUCGGAAGUGAUGACGCACCAGAUCCACAUGCUCCAAAAAGGCAGUACAGGGCUUGCUGUGAACAUGCUGGACAGGGGAAACAACUUGAAAAUGUAUCCCCAACAAAAAGGCAGUUCAGGCGUCACAGUGCACAGGCAGCCUGGCCAGCUCAGUCAUGGAACAGACACUGAUGUGGCUCCACCAGAGAUGCCUUUUCAUCCAGCAUGAGCACCUGGAGUUCAGCAGACACCUGUGCUCCUCUGGACUUGUUCAAACUUGGUUUUUUUUUUCUGAAGACAUGGUCUUGAUGUCCGAACACAAGCAGGCUGCCAAGAAUGUUGUAAACGGGUACAAGUGGACUGCUGUUGAUCAGUGAAAUUCUACAAGUAGAUCGGACUAACUUUCUACACGGCGAUGGUGAAGCUGGACCCCAUCAGGGAUGACUGGUGGUAGAACAGCAUUUGCUCAGUUCCAUUCUCAGCAACAGUGAUGUCAAGGGAUGGAUACAGGAGCACUUCCUGGAAUGUUCACAUGCGUGAUCCAGAUGAGGGCCAAGACAAUGAUGACAACCAGGGAACACCCAGAAUACGGCUGCUUGUUCCAAGUGAAACCUCUCAUGGACGUUAUUCGGAAUGCAAGCAAAACCUUUUAUCCUUGGAGGAACCUUGUGGUGGAUGAAAGGAUGGUGGCAACCAAGCCCAACACGGGCUUGAUUCAUAACAUGAAGGCAAAGCCAAUGAAGUGGGGCUUCAAGUUGUAUUUUGCAGUGUACAUGGGGAAAACCAGCUUUCACACUGGCCAAGGACUUUCAUAUGAUUCUGUAAUGUCACCUUAUGCCUUGUUCAUACCUGGGUUCAGGAUAUCGUCAUGUCUACAUGGACAGUUUUUAUACAAGCCCAAAGCUCUUCAGAGACUUGCAUGCACAAAACCUUGCUGCUUGUGGGAUGUACUGGGACAGCAGGUCCACGCAGUGCAUGUACGGUGUUGAGUAAGAGGUCAGACGCAGUCGUUCAGGUGGAUUAGGGAGGGUCCUCUGGUUUUUGUGGAGUGGAUGGACAUGCAAGAGGUCCCUUUCUGCUCCACUAUACAUGCAGCCUUCACUGGGGACACAAUCCAGCAGAUGAUGAAUCCAAAACAUGGUGCCUGGGUAACCAAGACCUUCCCAUUGCCCUCACCUUACUUUUACAGAAUCUCCUCAAGUGACCAAAAUGGUUCAUUACAAUGGACCCCAGAGGAUUGGACCCCCCCCCCGUCUCUCGUGCAGGUGCUGAAUUCAGCAGAUCUGGCUGUUCACUUGGAAAGAAUGGACUGCUACAAAUUGAGGCAUGUGCUCUUGAAGGCCUGUGAGCAGGAUUGGUCAGCUGGUGGGAUUUUUAGUCCCCUUCAUUAUGAUCUGUAGAUUUCUUAACUUGAGUCUUGGGCAGUUUGCUCACACUCUUCUGACGUCAACGUGUCUGGAGAUUUAUGCUGCAUUUUAUAUACAGGAUGACUUGGCUGGUUCCCCCAAGAUGUUGGAUUGAUAAAAUGAGGGGGCUGCUAUAGCACACGUGUGGCCCAGUGAAGCUGGCUGAAUGUGAUGAAGCCACCAAGGAACCUAUGCAAAGCAUCUAGGUGGUGUAGGUGAUCAUGACCUUUGGAUGUCAUCACUCCAGGGUGGCUGCUUGUAACUUUUUUGAAUGGUGAGUUUUAAUAUGUGCUUAUCUAUUUAAUGUAGUUGACCACUGGGAUGAUUAAUAUCCAUUGACUUUCCCAUGGAGAUUGGAUAUUAGCUCUGUCUGAUAUGGUCACCUUGGAUAGCCUUUAGACAUCAUGGGGUAAUCUCUGUUCUAACAGGAAUUAUACUUGACAGGUGAAGCUGUUGGGCAUCCUGUAACCUUAGUGCCCUGUUAAUGCAAACCACUGUCUUGCCAGAAUGAGUUGCAGUCCAUUGGAUAGUGGAGACUGGCAGUGUUCAGUGGCAUUCAACCCAGGCUUUGGUAUGAGCUCAUCAGACAAUCAGGAUCUGGGAGUUCUGAAGUUAUCCAGUUGACCUGAGGUCAUUAUUGGGGUGUGGGUUUUUGCCCCCCCCCCCACCCCACAAAAAAUGUCUGGAAAUAAAGCUUGUUUCAAACUGA